AACUCUCUGAAUUAUUUAAAAACAACAUUCAAAGCUCCUAUGUUAUUAGUGAGUAUGCCACAAUAGACGAAAAAUUGGAACCUUUUAGGGGAAGAUGCUCGUUUAGGCAGUACAUAAAGAGUAAGCCAGCAAGAUAUGGCAUAAAAAUUUUUCUUUUGACUGACAGUCUAUGAUACGAACAACUUUGAACGACGUUUAGCUUUAAUUCAACUUUAACAGCUUGUAUUUUAACUUUCCUCCGUAGAUGAUAGAUGGAAUUUAAGAAAGAGGUUAAUGAAAAUCAACAGCUUCUUAGAAGAAUCUAAAUUUAUCUUCAGGCCACCUCAUUGAUUCCUUCCUAUUCAUCAUCAACAAUCAACAAUGCAUGUUUUAAUGAUGAUGCGACAAUCUCAAUCAAGAUUCUCGAUGCAGACAACGAAGGGAAUUUGCAACAUUAACCUUGUUACAAGGUGCAGCGUCCCAGAUCGAAUCGAAUUACGUUUGGAAAUACGCAAACAGAGACCCACCCCGUAGAGAGAGGUACCUUUAAAAAGGAAAACGGCGCCUUUCGAACCGAUUUCCCGUCGACGACGAGGCAACGGCAAACGUCGAUAAACGGGGCUCACCCCCCAACCAUCGGAUACAAAUUGGAACGCGCGGGGUUAAACAGCUCGUUACCCCCCGAUACCGGUCGAAAUUACAGACUCGCGCAAGAAAACGGGUUAGGGGAGUUUCAAAUUUCUAAGGAUCACCCCGAUGAUCACGAUGACGGAUUAACUAACGCGCCGUAAUCAUCCUCAAUUACGCCCACGGGGGCGCAAAAAUUGAUACCGGUACCCCGAUUACCAUAACAAAUUUUCGAUUCAUACUGGGACACAAAAAAAAUUUACAUUCCAUACCCCCAAAGCGGACGAACAAACUUGCCUUCAUCGAUUACUUACCAAAAAUAAAUCGAAACGUCCGAAACUCCUCGAGGAGAACUUGAAGGACCAGAUGCCGUGUGUUGAUGGCACUCUACGAAAUUGGGCUCGAAUAUUAGAACCUCCCUCACAAUAUAAAUUGAUCUUUAAGAAUCGUCUUUAAAAGGAUUAUUAUAAACAUAAAAAAAUGUUUUACCUUGAUCCUUGGGGACUCUCAUAUUAUCCCGGAAGAAUUUAUUUACCGGUUGGUGUAGAUGUGGUAAAAAUCGCCUGUUUGAAGCUCCUGGUUCAUUCAACCCAUUUGAGAUUAUCACAAUCCUUCAAAUUCACUUCAAUGUUGUUCAUCCACCGACGAAACAUAAUUAUUGAAGAAUAGCAGUGUCGCCUAAAAACGAUCAACCUAACCUAUAAAUUGUUUAUUUUAUAGCCACACGCAUAAAAUCAAUCUGAUAAAACGACCCAAACGUUUUUAUUUACCAUAUACGAUGUU